AAGCUCGUAGUUGAAUUUCGGGAUUAGUACGUCGGUCGUGCCUUAGGUACGUACUGGUGUUACUGGUUCCUACCUUCUGACGAACCAUCAUGUCAUUAAUUUGGUGUGGUGGGGAAUCAGGACUGUUACUUUGAAAAAAUUAGAGUGUUUAAAGCAAGCUCGCGCUUGAAUACAUUAGCAUGGAAUAAUGAAAUAGGACGUUGAUCCUAUUUUGUUGGUUUCUAGGAUUGACGUAAUGAUUAAUAGGGAUAGUUGGG
rnacentral:rRNA from 1 species